rnacentral:tRNA from 1 species
GCCUCGGUGGCUUAGUGGUAUAGCGCAUCCUUGGUAAGGAUGAGGUCGCGGGUUCAAUCCCCGCCCGAGGCU